GGCACCCUGCUGUGUUCGUGAUGCCACUCUUAUAGGCGCUGAGCCAACACUCUUUAGAGCGGGUGCCGACUUACGUAAGGGACGCGAUAGGCUGGAGCCAAGGCGAAACUUCCGGGAAGGUACCCACCCUGCGCAAGCAGGUUCAGACCUGAGUGGACACACGGCAUGGCGGGGUUUUG
rnacentral:other from 1 species